rnacentral:lncRNA from 1 species
GCUGGGAUUCCAAAUUCAGAUCUAUGUGGCUGCUAUGUGAGCACCUAACUCAGUGAACUGUCACUGAACUCCCAGGGCUCAUUGUUAUUACAUGUUUGUUUGUUGUGUAACAAUUACCUCUUAACCAAAACACUCCACCGUGUAGAAAGGCUUAUGAAGACUCAGGAAAUAAACAACUCACAAGUUCCAGACAGUACCUGAAACUCAGAAAAUUCAUAGUUAUCUGUCUCAAAGCUAUCUAAACAGUAAUGGAUUUGGGAGAGGACACUGUCCCAGUGUGUGAGUUACCUGAAAGGCUCUAGACAGCUCAACUGCCUAUGAGUCACGGAGAGAGCUCCUGGAAGCAGGAUUCCUGAGGAAUUAGCUGUAUUUUGUGGGAUGAUUACUGCUGCUGUUGAUUUCACGUCAUCUAUGUUGCUAUGCUGAGAGAGGCUGAAGGAACAUCUGUCUCCUUAUCACAGGACCAUCAGCUGGGAACAUUCCACACACCUGCCCCUUCCCUUUCUCCAGGAUGCAGCAGGCAUCAAGACACCUCAGGCUUGCUUCAUGCAUUUUCUAAGACCCAGGGCGUUUUCCUACUCAAUCACAACGCUCGCACAUAAAGUAAUCAGCAUUGAUUAGAAGUCAUGGCACAAUACAAAAUGUUUCCUCAGUGCAGCAGCAACAUGGACCCUGGAUCAAACUCAAGUCACAAGACACAGCAGCUCUCACCUUUCCUUGUUGAAGCAUCUGAGCAGAACACAGGUAUCUGGGGAGAUACCUCAAUCAGGGUUGGAUUGAAUCUUGUUUCUUUAGAGGAUUGAUGUAUCUGUU